rnacentral:rRNA from 1 species
AGAGUUUGAUCAUGGCUCAGGACGAACGCUGGCGGCGUGCUUAACACAUGCAAGUCGAACGAGAAUCUGCGGAAAGAGGAUUCGUCCAAUUGAAGCAGAGGACAGUGGCGGACGGGUGAGUAACGCGUGAGGAACCUGCCUUUCAGAGGGGGACAACAGUUGGAAACGACUGCUAAUACCGCAUGACAUAUAGAUGUCGCAUGGCAUUUAUAUCAAAGAUUUAUCGCUGAAAGAUGGCCUCGCGUCUGAUUAGCUAGUUGGUGAGGUAACGGCCCACCAAGGCGACGAUCAGUAGCCGGACUGAGAGGUUGAACGGCCACAUUGGGACUGAGAUACGGCCCAGACUCCUACGGGAGGCAGCAGUGGGGAAUAUUGGGCAAUGGGCGCAAGCCUGACCCAGCAACGCCGCGUGAAGGAAGAAGGCUUUCGGGUUGUAAACUUCUUUUGUCAGGGACGAGUAGAAGACGGUACCUGACGAAUAAGCCACGGCUAACUACGUGCCAGCAGCCGCGGUAAUAC